ACAGAGGGUGCGAGCGUUAAUCGGAAUUACUGGGCGUAAAGCGUGCGUAGGUGGUUCGUUAAGUCUGAUGUGAAAGCCCUGGGCUCAACCUGGGAAUGGCAUUGGAUACUGGCGAUCUAGAGUGCGGUAGAGGGCAGUGGAAUUCCCGGUGUAGCAGUGAAAUGCGUAGAGAUGUGGAGGAACACCGAUGGCGAAGGCAGCCUCCUGGGCCAGCACUGACGCUCAUGCACGAAAGCGUGGGGAGCAAGCAGGA
rnacentral:rRNA from 1 species